AUUAAAGGCGUGCGCCAUUAAUUGGGGUUGGCUUACAGCUUCAGAGGUUUAGUCCAUUAUCAUCAAGAUGGGAAGCAUGGCUGCAUACAGGCAGUCAUGGUACUGCGGGAGUUGAGAAUUCUACCUGGUGAUCCUCUGGCAGCAGAAGGAGACUGUGUACCACACUGGGCAUAGCUUGAGUGUCCUAAUAUUGCUACUUUCUAAGGGCCAUGCAUUCAAUUACAGGAGUCAGUGGGGGCCAUUCCUAUUCAAACCACCACACAUUCAAAUAACAAAAGGAAAGGAAAAUAUCUACCCAAUGAGCACUUACUGGAUACUUAUCAUAUGCAAAACAAUAUCCAGGUAAAUAACAGGAUGUGUUUAUUCUGUUUAGAUCAAUAGAUAGUAAAGUUGUAUACAGUGAAUAAACAAUAAAUUUUCAGCUAGAAAUAACUUCCUGAAGCCAAAUUCAAAUCUGGGCCCAAACUGAGUGAAGUAGAAGCUCCCUAAGACAACGUGAUGAAAGAUAAGAAAUUGUCUUGAAGGCAGGUUGGUGAACACACAAUUGUCCUAGUGUAAGACUGAAGAUUCUGCAUGAUAGCCCCUGUGACGAUGCCCUGUGCCUUCAGCUACUCUUCUGACACGGUUGUUUCUGUAUGAACUUUUUAUGUUAUCAUAUCAAGUGACAAGACUGCUUUACUAUAGUGCACACAUACAAGACUAUUUAAUUGAAUACAACAUUUUAAUACAUACAAGGACAGUAUAAAGUGGAUCCAGAUAUUAUAGAGCGGCCCAGAAACCAUGUCCAAUGAAAACCAGUUGAAAGACACAACACUUGGAAGAGAGGAGCUUCUCAGCACAGGGAAGCUCUGCUUACAUACUCUCCUUAACUCUUGUUACUGAAAAACCCAAACUUGUACAUUGGUGCACGCCUCAUAUAGAUCAAGCAAUAGCAGCCACAUUGGAAGACACAACAAGUUUAAAAGCUUUGGGCCUAGGGCAGUGGCUCUUACCCUUCCUAAUGCUGUGGCCCUUUAAUAUAGCUCCUUAUGUUGUGAUAACCAAUAAUAAAAUUAUUUUUGUUGCUACUUCACAACUGUAAUUUUGCUACUGUUAUGAAUUUCACUAUAAAUAUCUGUGUUUUCUGAUGGUCUUAGGUGACUCCUGUGAAAGGGUCAUUCAGUCCCUAAAAUGGUUGUAACUAUUAGGUUGAGAAUCACUGAUCUAGCGAGAUGUUAGUGAUGGAAAAUUGAAUCCUGCCUUUCUCAUGCUUGGUAUAAAGGGAAAAAUCAUAAAUUAAAACAACUCAUAAAGACCGAGAAGAGAAGGAAACUUUAGACAUGGUGGGAAAGGAAUCAACCUUGGAAUUAUUUUUUAGUACGUAAGAAAUACAGAUUCUCUUUCUAUGCAAGGGGUUUUGGUGUAAUUGUUGCUCAAGCUAAGCAUGAACUUACUGUGCUGGGCGGAUAGACCUCAAAUGUGUGACCCUGUAGCCUCAGCCUUGAGUAGCUGAGAUUGUAAGGCCAUGACAGCACACUUGGCUUAUUUACCCUAGUGUGCUUAUGUGGCUAAAAUAACCAUCCAAGCUGUAAUUAUGACUGAAGUAGAAGCAAGUGGAGUUGGCAGAGAGCACAUGGCAGCACUUAGGUACCAGAAACAGAGAAACCAGUAAAGAAACAAAAGUUGUUCCCCACAGUUUACAGUACCUCCACCCCAACCAGCCCAUUUGAGAACAUUAGGAAAAUCAGAACUGGUUUAGCUAAAAUCAUAAAAGGAAUUAAGUUCCAAAUAAGUACUACACUUUAAAAUGAAUAUUAGACUAUUCGUAAUAUUAGCUGGAUUUCAGGAAUACUUUCUCUGCAUCUAUGGCUAGCUCAUUGUUCUCAGUAAGGUAGUGUGAUACACAGACCUUGUUCAAAGGUAGACUGGUUCUCUUUUGACUUGGAGAAACCGUGUACGAGCAGCUCUCUUUGUUAAGGGUAUAAUUCUCUCCCUAUUUGUCCCUGUGUGACUUUUUCUUAGCUUCUGUGGAAAUCCACAGAAACGUUUUUCUUUUCUCUCUCUUUUUUUUCCAGAUAGAAUUUCAUUAUAUAGCCCUUGUUGUCCUAGAACUCCUUAUUUAGGUCAGGCUGGCCUCGAACUCAUAGAGAUCCACCUUGCCUCUACCUCCUUAGUGCGGGGGAUUAAAGGUGUGCACCUUUGCCCCCCCCCCAAAAAAAAAAACCAAAAACCAAAAACCAAAAACCAAAAAACAGAUUUUGAGGUAAUUGACUGUGUUCAUUGGGAAUGAUUCCUGUUGUAUAGAAAUUAUACUUCCAUCCUUACUUAGGUUUCUAGAAUUUUCUGAGUUUUGGGUCAUUCCAGCCUCCUCUUAUCAGACUUUUCCCAGUGCAUACAUGCUCACAAAGGGCCUUAAUCACACUUGCUCUCAUUUAUCCUCCUUUGAGAGAGGGAAUCACUUGUGCUUUUAAUAAUCAUGUUUUUUUUUCCCUUUAAAGAAGAAAACAGCCUUUGAAAUAAGAACAAUCUUUUAAAUUAG
rnacentral:lncRNA from 1 species